GCGCAGCCACUUGUCCACCUGAGUGGCACCCCAAGACCCCCCCAUGGCUUGCAGACAGCCAAGAAUUUCUGGGAGGAUCUUCCAGAAAGUCUUCUUCAGCAACCUGGUUCAUGCCAUUCGUGGGGUUGAGUAUCCUGGUCUCAGGAACCCAAAAUGCACUGAAGGAGCAAAACUGCAACCCACCCUAUGCAAUUCCUGUAAACACAAUGUGCCGAGAUUUCCAACAAGCACCAUCUCUGGUAACCACAAUCCUUCUCAUUCCACUGAAAGUGGUCAGAAUGAGUUUGGAGAACUGGGCAGCCCCUGAUCUUCCUGUGGAAGGAAAAAGCAGCUCAGCUGAGCUACAAAGUCAGCCUCCUUGGGCUUGCAAUAAUUUGAUGUGCAUCCAUCUUAAUUGAAGAUGAUCCAUUUCAGUCUUGGCAGCACAUUGAUAAUGAACAAGAACCAAACACCAUUUGGCAAAUUCCAAUCUACCAGCAAACCCAGGGAGGAAGCAGAAAACCUGGGAUCAUCUCCUGGAAUCAUUUCCUGGGCUGCAGCUCAGUCUUUAUGAGCCAAGCUGCUUGUAAACAACGAGGGCCUUUGUUAAAUUGCUGGGUGUUUGUGAGCCUUGGAAGAUCGCUGUGCUCCACCUUUCAGGUAAAAGGGAUCACAGG